CCCUAUGGGGCGCAGCAGGCGGUCAUCAUCCAAGGAUCCAAAAAAGCGCAGCAACAGGCACUCUUCGGCAAGCACGGCCCCAUCCACGCCCCCGGGUGUUUGGGCACUGAAGACGGGGUCUUCGCGACGCAAACGCAGGAGGUCCCUGUGCAGAUCGUAGGAGGAACGGUUGCGUUCGCGCUCGCUGAAAUCUAGCUUGCACCGCUCGAACGUAGAGGGAGCCGCUGGGUCGACCGCGUAGGGGAGCAUUUCGCUCGUGGCCAAACUGAGGAACUGC
rnacentral:rRNA from 1 species